rfam:Spizellomyces punctatus DAOM BR117 chromosome Tnknown supercont1.2, whole genome shotgun sequence.
UCCCAAAUAGUAUAGUGGCUAGUACCUCCGCCUGUCAGUCCAAAAGACCAGAGCGCGGAAGACCGGGGUUCGAUUCCCCGUUUGGGAG